UCCAGAGCAGCUGCUGUCCUGUAGGGUCCU
rnacentral:piRNA from 1 species